GCCUAAAGGGGCCGUAGCUUGAUAAUAGGGUCCCUUGAGAAAUCCGCCGGCUUAACUGGCGGGCGUUCAGGGGAAACUUGUUUUCUAGGGACCGGGAGAGGUGAGGGGUACUGCCGGGGUAGGAGUGAAAUCCUGUAAUCCCGGUGGGACCACCUAUGGCGAAGGCAUCUCACCAGAACGGGUCCGACAGUGAGGGACGAAAGCUGGGGGAGCAAACCGGAUUAGAUACCCGGGUAGUCCCAGCUGUAAACUAUGUGCGUUAGGUGUGUCAGUGACCACGUGUCACUGAGGUGCCGAAGGGAAACCGUGAAACGCACCGCCUGGGGAGUACGGUCGCAAGGCUGAAACUUAAAGGAAUUGGCGGGGGAGCACCACAACGGGUGGAGCCUGCGGUUUAAUCGGACUCAACGCCGGGAAUCUCACCGGAUAAGACAGCUGAAUGAUAGUCGGGAUGAAGACUCUACUUGACUAGCUGAGAGGAGGUGCAUGGCCGUCGUCAGUUCGUACUGUGAAGCAUCCUGUUUAGUCAGGCAACGAGCGAGACCCACGCGAGCAGUUGCCAGCUUGACCUUCGGGUUGAUGGGGACACUGCUCGGACCGCCUCUGCUAAAGGGGAGGAAGGACUGGGCAACGGUAGGUCAGCAUGCCCCGAAUUAUCCGGGCUACACGCGGGCUACAAUGGACAGGACAAUGAGUUUCGACACCGAGAGGUGAGGAUAAUCUUCUAACCCUGUCCCAAGUUCGGAUUGCGGGUUGUAACUCACCCGCAUGAAGCUGGAAUCCGUAGUAAUCGCGUUUCAACAUACCGCGGUGAAUAUGUCCCUGCUCCUUGCACUCACCGCCCGUA
rnacentral:rRNA from 1 species